rnacentral:piRNA from 1 species
CAGAACUGCCGUAGAAUCCUCAUUUA